rnacentral:tRNA from 1 species
UCCUUAAGUUCUUUAUAAGCCAGCAGAACUUCGUCUUUACUUGGGUUAGCCACCAAAUGAAUCACCGCAAUUUGCGC